rnacentral:lncRNA from 1 species
GCAUGAGCUUAUAACGAUAGGAAAUAACUCUCUCAUGCAAUUGAAAUUAAACAUGUUAGGAACAGGAGGAGAACCUCGUCCUAACAUGAGCAAAAUCGAAGGUCUGAUUUCUUAAAGAUCGGAUGGGGGGAGAGGCCCUUACAACGGCCCUUAUGUGCCCCCACAGCCUUGUUAGGAACAGGAGGAGAACCUCGUCCUAACAUGAGCAAAGUCGAAGGCCCAAUUUCCUAA